rnacentral:piRNA from 1 species
UAAUCAGAGUGGGACUGGCCUUUGU